rfam:Cavia porcellus supercont2_11 genomic scaffold, whole genome shotgun sequence.
GGAUGUGAGGGUGACCUGCAUGCGACAAGUGGCACCCCACUGAUCGCCAGGGUUGAUUCAGCUGAUCUGGCCAAGUGGGUAUCCCCUUCCUCACCGCUCCAUGUACAUCCAUCCCUCCCACAGCUGCUGCUCAGUGGAGGAGGACCAUUUCCUGGGUCAAGGAAAUGUGAGUAGACUCACUUCCCUGCUGGAACCUCCAAACAAGCCCUCAAGGUCGGAGACCUCAGGCCCUGGAAAAAGACAGGGAUGUGAGUCGGCCAAGCCCG